CCUACGGGAGGCAGCAGUGAGGAAUAUUGGUCAAUGGCCGGAAGGCUGAACCAGCCAAGCCGCGUGAAGGACGAAGGUGCCAAGCAUUGUAAACUUCUUUUGUCAAGGGACAAAAUCAGGCUUGAGAGCCUGACCGAGGGUACUUGAAGAAAAAGCAUCGGCUAACUCCGUGCCAGCAGCCGCGGUAAUACGGAGGAUGCGAGCGUUAUCCGGAUUUAUUGGGUUUAAAGGGUGCGUAGGCGGGCUGUUAAGUCAGCGGUAAAAGUCCGGGGCUCAACCCAGGAGAGCCGUUGAAACUGGCUGUCUUGAGAUGUCGAGAGGUAUGCGGAAUGCGGAGUGUAGCGGUGAAAUGCUUAGAUAUUGCGCAGAACUCCGAUUGCGAAGGCAGCAUACCGGCGGCGAUCUGACGCUGAGGCACGAAAGCGUGGGUAUCGAACAGGAUUAGAUACCCGAGUAGUC
rnacentral:rRNA from 1 species